AGAAGGACGAUGAAGGAAACAUCUGUGCUGUGUCUGCUCUAUGCAGCUGCAGUCGGCUCAGCAGUGAGAACUGAAGACGUCAGUCAAAGAGAAGGAAAAACAGUCAGAGCUGAGAGAGUUUCUACCAGAGCCAAAUGUCAUCUACUCCUCACUGAAGUCGUCCACCAGUCCAACCACUGGAAUCCAGCUGCUGCUCUCUAACUGGUCCACACAGCAGCUCAGACCUGACACAUUCACUGUAAACACACUGGUUUAUAUUCUGUUUGUUCUCCUCAUGAAGGAACAUGAGUUCUUUGGAGUCAUAGAUUAUGAAUUUAUAUUUUUCUCUUAUUUUAACAGCUACAGGUGUGGUUUGUAAUACGAUGGAGAUCCUUUACUCCAUUAUUAAACAGCCUUCAUCUACAAUGUGUUAGAAGUUUCUUUGAGUGAGAUUAUCUUGAACACAGUCAUGUGUUUAUAUUAGUGCCCUCCAAUAGAAUUGGACUAUUAAACAGCUCGAUGACAGACUCACUGCGCAUGCUCGUUAGUGCUGGUGCUUGUAUUCACUGACCCACAGAUUUGAAAUCAGGAUGUUGCUCACAGAUACGAACAACAUUUGUGUCUCUGAGCAGAUUUUACCAACCACUGUGGAAAUUCACGAGACUGUAAUAAGUGCAUUGAUGCUUAUUGCUGCUCUGUCAGCAGUGAGGGCUGGAGGCUUGUUUUCACCAGAAGUGACCACCAGAAAUAUCACAGUGACAGGUAACAAGUGUGAAGUCACCUGAAAGUGGACAAUAGUUUAGGUGGGCAUUAUUUGAAAGGUUUAUUUGUGUUUGUUUUUUAAAACAAACAAAAAACCUUUUCUUUAAUGAGAAAGUGGCUUUUUAAGUGGCUGCUGGGUCAAGAUUAUGUGGUCUGUGCUGCCACCUACUGACGUUGAAGUGUAACAACACUGACUCCGCACCGCUGAAAAUUCAAUGUUUCCACUUUGUGAAUGUGCAGCAGCUGUUUCGUGUCUGAUAUGGAGGAGACGUCACACUAACAGAUUUAAACUUUACAAAACGUCCUCUGUAAAUACUUUUUACAGGCUUGUUCUCACCUGCUCAUCACACAGGAUCAGAUUUUCACAAUAAACGCUUGUCACAUGUUUUCACUGACACUGAACAGAAUAUGUUUUGGUUCAUGUGGACGUGAGAGCGUCACACAGCUGGUCUGUGUUCUUUUUCUUACUGAUUUUCAGGUGUAAAAUUCAUUUUAAGACA